CAUGAGUAGAGACCGAGGAGUCAUAGCUGCCGCCUUCAGAGGAGAGUGAAGAUGCUGCUGGUUCAGUAGUUGGAGAGAUUCUCGGGCCCCUGGCAGGAUAGAUCUGCAGGAUUUGCUGAAGAGCCAAGUGGAGCUAUCAGCAUACCAGUAACAACACGACUAACAAGCUGCAAAGCUUGUAGGGGAGAGGACCAAGCAGGAAAUAAAAUGAGAGUAAAUAUUGGCGCAGCAUGCUAUCUGAGGAAGCCUGGGAGCUGAAAAGUUUCAUUUCAGAUGUGUGGCUGACUACUUCUCUCCUGGACAGGACAGGUGGUGAUCUUCAGAAGGAGCAAUGGUGGGAUGCGCUUCCAGCUGGGAAACUGUAUGAAACCAUGGAUGAAGAUUGAACUCCUGAAGAUGUACUCCUACCUCCAUACCAUACCCCAGUCUGCUACACUGAAGAUCUCAUAGGACAAGCAAUCAUUGUUGAUUUCAACUGUCUUAAACAGCUACCUGAGUACCAGAUCUUAUGCACAAUAAUGCUAUUUAUUUCAUCUAAUAAAGUACUU